rnacentral:rRNA from 1 species
UACGGAGGGUGCAAGCGUUGUUCGGAUUCAUUGGGCGUAAAGGGUGUGUAGGUGGCGCGCUAAGUCGGGUGUGAAAUUUCGGAGCUUAACUCCGAAACUGCAUUCGAUACUGGCGUGCUUGAGGACUGGAGAGGAGACUGGAAUUUACGGUGUAGCAGUGAAAUGCGUAGAUAUCGUAAGGAAGACCAGUGGCGAAGGCGGGUCUCUGGACAGUUCCUGACACUGAGACACGAAGGCCAGGGGAGCAAACGGG